GAUGAACGCUGGCGGCGUGCUUAAUACAUGCAAGUCGAGCGAUGCGUGGAAGGGUGAGUAACACGUGGAAAAACUCCUAUAACACUGGGAUAACAUCGGGGAACCGGAGCUAUACAGGAUACUUAUACUUUGACCGGCGCUGGGUUAGCUAGUUGGUAAGCUAACGGCUGACCAAGGCAACGACGCAUAGCCGACCUGAGAGGGUGAUCGGCCACACUGGAACUGAGACACGGCCCAGACUCCGACGGGAGGCAGCAGUGGGGAAUCUUCCGCAAUGGGCGCAAGCCUGACUGAGCCACGCCGCGUGAGUGAGGAAGGUCCUCGGGUCGUAAAGCUCUGUUAUUCGGGAAGCGUUACCUACUCAGAAAGCACCGGCUAACUCCGUGCCAGCAGCCGCGGUAAUAC
rnacentral:rRNA from 1 species